UCCUCAUGCAGGCACUCCCGAGGACCGAGCUCAAGUCGAAGCAGCACGUCAAACUUAUCAUCAAAAUCACAACCCUAUCAAAUGCGAUGCUGAGUUGCUUUGGAUAAUUCAGUUUCUAGGAGAGAAAAAUUUCAAACAAAUCAUUCCAAAAGUAACAGUGGAGGAAGGAAUAAUGAUAAAAGAAUGAAACGGGCGACCAUUGCAUUGAGAAGAGCUGCACGUAGCCUUGCAAAGGAACCAUGGCCACUCGCUUGCACAAAAUUCUAGCCCUUUAUUCUUUUUGCCUCCUCUGGUAUUUGCACGGUGCAUUAUAGGACAUAUUAACACUAUAUUGUCAGAAGAACAUGGAAAGGAAAUUCUUCCCUAUACAUUCUAUCAUCAGAAUGAAGAUGGUGGAUGGGGAUUGCACAUUGUAGGAGAAAGUUGCAUGCUUUGCAUUGUUCUAAACUGUAUUCUAUUGUGUUUGCUUGGAGAGAACCCGAUACGAACGCUUGAGGUAGAGCUCAAAAAUGGAUUCUAGAUCACGGAGGUGCCUUUUACAUACCUUCUUGGGGAAAGAUUUAGCUUGCCAGUAUACGAGUGGGAAGGAGCAAAUCCAAUGUCCUAUGAGAACAUCAAAUGGAAUCCGACGCGACAUUAUCAUGCAAAGGUAUUUAUUAAAAAUUCAAUUAUGGAGCCUAUUAAUUAACUGAAAGAGGCCACUCCAUUAAGGUAGCUCUCUCACUAGU